rnacentral:rRNA from 1 species
AGAGUUGAUCAUGGCGUCAGGACGAACGCUGGCGGCGUGCCUAACACAUGCAAGUCGAACGGGGAGUUUGUUUCGGCAGAAUCCUAGUGGCGAACGGGUGAGUAACGCGUAGGCAACCUGCCCUCCGGCCGGGGACAACACUCCGAAAGGGGUGCUAAUACCGGAUACGAAGUCUGUGCCGCAUGGUACGGAUUUGAAAGAUGGCCUCUAUUUAUAAGCUAUCGCCGGGGGAUGGGCCUGCGUCCGAUUAGCUGGUUGGUGGGGUAACGGCCUACCAAGGCGACGAUCGGUAGCCGGUCUGAGAGGAUGAACGGCCACAUUGGGACUGAGACACGGCCCAGACUCCUACGGGAGGCAGCAGUGGGGAAUCUUCCGCAAUGGGCGCAAGCCUGACGGAGCAACGCCGCGUGAGUGAGGAAGUUCUUCGGAACGUAAAGCUCUGUUGUUCCUGACGAACCUCCCCUCUAUCAACAACGGAGGGGACUGACGGUAGGGAACGAGGAAGCCACGGCUAACUACGUGCCAGCCGCGGC